UUUACAAAAUUGAAUGUGACAUUUUGAAAAGAACUUUUAGUGACUUCCGGCCAAGAUGAAGGCGUAGUUAGAAACCCUUUGCUUCCUCACACAACCAAAAGGCAGAUAACAACCAAUCUAAAAUCAAUAAAAAACCAGAAGUGCCAGUAAAUCCAACUGCAUGGAACUCCUACAACCACAGAAUUAAAGAAA